UUAAAUUAUUGGGUUUUAUUCUAGCUCCGAGUGAAUGCUUGUAACAUAUUUAACACAUGCAAAUUGAACGAAAAAUCAAUAAGAUUUUUAGUAGUGACCUGGUGCGUAAAGUAUGAGUAUUGAAGUAUAAAUUAGGCAUUAAAAUUCCUAAUAUAAAAAAGAUUAAUAUCGUUUAUAUCAAAGCUUAUAUAGGAUUAGGUAGUUGUUAUAGUAAUUAUUUAACAAGCCUAUAAUGCUUAGCUGAUUUGAGAGAAUGAUCAGCCACAUUGGAACUGAAGACGGUCCAAGUCUUUUGAGAGGGCAGCAGUGGAGAAUAUUUGACAAUGAGCGAAAGCUUGAUCGAGUAAUGUUACGUGAGUGAUGAGAAGGCUUAAUUGCUGUAAAACUCUUUCGUCAAGGAUUAUAAUGUAAAUUGUACUUGAAAGAGAAGCCCUGACUAACUUCGUGCCAGCAGUCGCGGUAAUACGGAGAGGGCUAGUGUUAUUCGUAUUGACUGGGUGUAAAGGGUAAGUAGGUGGUUUAUUAAGUUUAAAUAAAUGCUAAAUUAAAUUUUAGAAGUAUUUAAAAUACUAUUAUACUAGAGUUAAAUUGAAGAUAACUGUACAUUAAGUGUAAAAGUGAAAUUUGUUAAUAUUUAAAGGACAGUCAAUAAGCGAAAGCUGUUAUCUAAAUUAAAACUGACACUGAGUUACAAAAGCAUAGGGAUCAAACGGGAUUAGAGACCCCGGUAGUCUAUGCCCUGACCGAUGAAUGUUAAUUAAAUUAAAUUAUUUAAUUAAGCUAACGUGUAAACAUUCCACCUGAGUACUACGACCGCAAGGUUAAAACUCAAAGAAACUGACGGAAGAUUGUAUAAGCGGUGGAGUAUGUGGUUUAAUUUGAUAUAACGCACAAAAUCUUACCAGUUUUUGAAUGUAAAUAAGCUAUUAUAUAAUUUUUUUGUAUAAUAUGAUUAUAAAUAUAAUUUAUUAUUUUUUUAAUAAUUAUUUUAUUUGUAAAUUUACACAGGUGCUGCAUGGUUGUCGUCAGUUCGUGUUGUGAAAUGUUAUGUUAAUUCAUUUAACGGACGUAACCCUUAGUUUUAAUUUAUUAAAGUUUCAAGAUAAAAUUUAUUUAUAAUAAAUAAAUUUUAUUAUAUUUAAACUUUAUUAAAACUAAUAUUAAUAUAAAAUUAAUUGAAAAAGGAAGAAGUCAAAUCAUUAUGGCCUAUAUAAAUUGGGCUACACACGUACUACAAUGGUAAUUACAAUAUGAAACAAUAAUGUAAAUUGGAGUAAAACAUUAAAAAUUAACCUUAGUUCGGAUUAUUCUCUGUAAGUCGAGAGUAUGAAGGCGGAAUCGCUAGUAAUCGCAAAAUAGAACGUUGCGGUGAAUAUAUUCUCAAUCUUUGUACACACCGCCCGUCACGCCAUGGGAAUUGGUUUGAUUUGAAAUAAUAUAGAUAUUAAUUUAAUAUAAUAAUAAUCUUUUUUUAUUAUAUGUUAAUAUACUAAUUAUGACAAUUAAAUUAAGGACUGGGGCGAAGUCGUAACAAGGUAGUGGUAGGGGAACC
rnacentral:rRNA from 1 species